rnacentral:rRNA from 1 species
AGAUAAUAGAUACCCAGGUAGUCCACGCCGUAAACGAUGAGUGCUAAGUGUUAGAGGGUUUCCGCCCUUUAGUGCUGCAGCUAACGCAUUAAGCACUCCGCCUGGGGAGUACGGCCGCAAGGCUGAAACUCAAAGGAAUUGACGGGGGCCCGCACAAGCGGUGGAGCAUGUGGUUUAAUUCGAAGCAACGCGAAGAACCUUACCAGGUCUUGACAUCCUCUGACACUCCUAGAGAUAGGAUUUUCCCCGUUCGGGGGUACAGAGUGACAGGUGGUGCAUGGUUGUCGUCAGCUCGUGUCGUGAGAUGUUGGGUUAAGUCCCGCAACGAGCGCAACCCUUGAUCUUAGUUGCCAGCAUUCAGUUGGGCACUCUAAGGUGACUGCCGGUGACAAACCGGAGGAAGGUGGGGUAUGACGUCAAAUCAUCAUGCCCCGUUAUGACCUGGGCUACACACGUGCUACAAUGGAUGGUACAAAGGGUCAGCGAAGCCGCGAGGUGGAGCCAAUCCCGAUAAAACCCGAUUCUCAGUUCGG